CUAUUUUAAUUACAUUUAAAAAGAAUACUCUAGGGGGGCGGAGCCUGACCGCGAGACGGGCUAGACGCCAUUUCUGAGAGCUCCUUCCCGGCGAGCGAAAUCCGCCGUAAAUCUACCAUAACCAGACCCCAUCCGAACUUGAAACCAGCGGGUACAGAUUGGGGACACCCCCCGGCACCGACAGAUGCCUUUUCAAUAUACCCCGAGGCAGACCAAACCGAAAAAGAAGACCGGGGCCUACUUCACGCCGACGCUUGCAGACCUCGAGGCACUAUUUGGUGGAGCGGACGCACAUAGGGCAGCUGAGACCCCGGCUUACCCGGCAAAAACUCUCCACAGUCCUACACCAGCAAUGGGGAGACGUUCACAGAGGCCUCAAACGUCCCAGGCAACGGACCAGCAGGACAUUGGCACUCUCCUACAACGGCA